rnacentral:rRNA from 1 species
CGGUGAAAUGCGUAGAGAUGUGGAGGAACACCAGUGGCGAAGGGGACUCUCUGGUCUGUAACUGACGCUGAGGAGUGAAAGCGUGGGGAGAGAACAGGAUUAGAUACCCUGGUAGUCCACGCCGUAAACGAUGAGUGCUAAGUGUUAGGGGGUUUCUCGCCCCUUAGUGCUGCAGCUAACGCAUUAAGCACUCCCGCCUGGGGAGUACGGUCCGCAAGACUUAAAACUCAAAAGGAAUUGACGGGGGCCCCGCACAAGCGGUGGAGCAUGUGGUUUUAAUUCGAAGCAACGCGAAGAACCUUACCAGGUCUUGACAUCCUGAGACAAUCCUAGAGAUAGGACGUCCCCUUCGGGGGCAGAGUGACAGGUGGUGCAUGGUUGUCGUCAGCUCGUGUCGUGAGAUGUUGGGUUAAGUCCCGCAACGAGCGCAACCCUUGAUCUUAGUUGCCAGCAUUCAGUUGGGCACUUUAAGGUGACUGCCGGUGACAAACCGGAGGAAGGUGGGGAUGACGUCAAAUCAUCAUGCCCCUUAUGACCUGGGCUACACACGUGGUACAAUGGACAGAACAAAGGGCAGCGAAACCGCGAGGUUAAGCCAAUCCCACAAAUCUGUUUUCAGUUCGGAUCGCAGUUUGCAACUUGACUGCGUGAAGCUGGAAUCGCUAGUAAUCGCGGAUCAGCAUGGCGCCGUGAAUUAGUUUCCGGGC